AGAGUUUGAUCAUGGCUCAGGAUGAACGCUAGCGGCAGGCCUAAUACAUGCAAGUCGAACGGGUAGCAAUAUCAGUGGCAAACGGGUGCGUAACGCGUAAGCAACCUGCCUCAUACUGGGGGAUAGCCCGGCGAAAGCUGGGGUAAACCCGCACGGUCCCAAGAGGUCACCUGACUUUCUGGGUAAACAUUUAUGGGUAUGAGAGGGGCUUGCGUCUGAUUAGUUAGUUGGCAGGGUAAUGGCCUACCAAGACGAUAAUCAGUAAGGGUUCUGAGAGGAUUGGCCCCCACAUGGGUACUGAGAUACGGACCCAACUCCUACGGGAGGCAGCAGUAGGGAAUAUUGGGCAAUGGAGGCAACUCUGACCCAGCCAUGCCGCGUGCAGGAUGAAGGCGCUCAGCGUUGUAAACUGCUUUUAUUGGUGAAGAACUGUAGAUCUGCGGAUUUAUUUGACGGUAGCCAAGGAAUAAGCACCGGCUAACUCCGUGCCAGCAGCCGCGGUAAUACGGAGGGUGCAAGCGUUGUCCGGAUUUAUUGGGUUUAAAGGGUGCGUAGGUGGAACUGUAAGUCUGAUUUGAAAGCAAGCGGCUUAACCGUUUGAUGUGGUUGGAAACUGUGGUUCUUGAAUGGGUUGGCGGUAGCCGGAAUGGGUCAUGUAGCGGUGAAAUGCAUAGAUAUGACCCGGAACACCGAUUGCGAAGGCAGGCUACUACGACUUGAUUGACACUGAGGCACGAGAGCAUGGGUAGCGAACAGGAUUAGAUACCCUGGUAGUCC
rnacentral:rRNA from 1 species